rnacentral:rRNA from 1 species
UACGGGAGGCAGCAGUGGGGAAUAUUGCACAAUGGGCGCAAGCCUGAUGCAGCCAUGCCGCGUGUAUGAAGAAGGCCUUCGGGUUGUAAAGUACUUUCAGUCGUGAGGAAGGUGUUAAGGUUAAUAACCUUAGCAAUUGACGUUAGCGACAGAAGAAGCACCGGCUAACUCCGUGCCAGCAGCCGCGGUAAUACGGAGGGUGCGAGCGUUAAUCGGAAUUACUGGGCGUAAAGGGCACGCAGGCGGUUAAUUAAGUUGGAUGUGAAAUCCUCGGGCUUAACCUGGGAAUGGCAUUCAAGACUGGUUAGCUAGAGUCUUGUAGAGGGGGUAGAAUUCCAUGUGUAGCGGUGAAAUGCGUAGAGAUGUGGAGGAAUACCGGGUGGCGAAGGCGGCCCCUGGGACAAGACUGACGCUCAUGUGCGAAAGCGUGGGGAGCAAACAGGAUUAGA